rnacentral:rRNA from 1 species
CCUACGGGUGGCAGCAGUGAGGAAUAUUGGUCAAUGGACGAGAGUCUGAACCAGCCAAGUAGCGUGAAGGAUGACUGCCCUAUGGGUUGUAAACUUCUUUUAUAUGGGAAUAAAAUGUUCCACGUGUGGGAUUUUGUAUGUACCAUAUGAAUAAGGAUCGGCUAACUCCGUGCCAGCAGCCGCGGUAAUACGGAGGAUCCGAGCGUUACCCGGAUUUAUUGGGUUUAAAGGGAGCGUAGGUGGAUUGUUAAGUCAGUUGUGAAAGUUUGCGGCUCAACCGUAAAAUUGCAGUUGAAACUGGCAGUCUUGAGUACAGUAGAGGUGGGCGGAAUUCGUGGUGUAGCGGUGAAAUGCUUAGAUAUCACGAAGAACUCCGAUUGCGAAGGCAGUUCACUGGACUGCAACUGACACUGAGGCUCGAAAGUGUGGGUAUCAAACAGGAUUAGAUACCCGAGUAGUC